rnacentral:tRNA from 4 species
GGGCCCGUAGCUCAAUUGGUAGAGCGCGUCUAUGGCAUAGACGAGGCAAGGGGUUCGAAACCCCUCGGGUCCACAA